rnacentral:snRNA from 1 species
GAAUUUGGGGUCCAAGCUUGUC